GUUUCUCCAGACUAAUGGACUGAGCCUGACACUCUGGUUUAGUUAUUUUGGUUUUAGUUGAAGUUUUUUUCUAAGUGUAUUUAAUGUGAGAUGUUGUAUUUUCUGCAGUAGAUGGUGGAUGUGACUCAGACCGAAGGAUGGAUCUGCUUCAUCAGGUCCGAGUUCAUCUGUCUGCCAGAAAAUAAAAAUUCAGUCUUUAAAUCGCUGGUUUUCUGAACGAGGUUUGGUCUGCAGCAGCUCUUGGACUCACCUCACACUCACCUGGACCACACACAGGAGGUGUGUGUGGGCGUGGGUGUUAUUUUUUCAGCUUAGAGGUUAGAGCUAAACCUCUCCUUCCUCUUUCUCUCACUCCUCCUCUUCCUAGCUUUCCCUCAGCCUCCAUCACAGCAUGUGUGGCAGGUGCUGAUUGGUCGAC